UGUACGUUUCACUGCAUUAUACAGCGUAAGCCACCGUCACUCAGUUCAGUCCCUGUAUCUGAACCGAAACUCCCGCCUCUGAGAUGGCAACUUCCUCUUUAUCAACAGUUCAGUCCUCAAUUAAUCACAAGCCACUUCGAUUAUCACCACAACGAGUCUCACCUAAACUCGAUUUUAUUAGAAUUCCACAAAAUCACAAAAUCUACUGCGGCUACUCUUGCUUCGAGGUUAAGGAUGUUAGCUAUAGGCCUCCAGGGACUGAGCUUAAUCUCCUAAAUAAAGUUACCUUUUCGCUUCCAGAGAGAAGUUUUGGCUUGAUUUUUGGUCAAAGUGGGAGUGGAAAAACUACUCUUUUGCAGCUUCUUUCCGGAAUAAGCAAACCAACGUCAGGUUCGAUUUGUGUUCAAAGAUAUGGGAAUGAUGGAAAUCCAAACCAAUUGCCUGAACAGCUAUCUCCUGAAAAAGUUGGUAUUGUCUUUCAAUUUCCCGAGAGGUACUUUGUGGCUGACACUAUUGCUGAUGAAGUUACAUUUGGGUGGCCAAGGCGAAAGAGCAGCGUUCAAUUAAGGGAGCAUCUUGCUUUGAAUCUGCAAAGAGCUGUAAAUUGGGUUGGAUUGAAUGGGAUCUCAUUGGAUAAAGAUCCUCACUCGCUAAGUGGUGGAUAUAAACGUCGGCUUGCCCUGGCUAUUCAAUUGGUUGAAGUCCCUGAUCUGUUGAUAUUGGAUGAGCCUCUUGCUGGUCUAGAUUGGAAGGCACGUGCAGAUGUUGUAAAGCUUUUGAAGCACUUGAAGAAGGAAUUGACUAUCCUUGUUGUCAGUCAUGAUCUCAAAGAGUUAGCAGCUCUAGUUGAUCAUUCCUGGAGGAUGGAAAUGGGCGGAUUUCUGAGGGAAGAGCUUCUUCCAGUGUAACCUUGGAGUGGACUAUUGCCUACCUUACCACAUGUUAUGCUAUGAGUAUUCCCCGUUUGCUCUUGAAUUACUGCAACUAUGACCAUAAUAAGGCAGUUUCAAGUUGUUCACAUGGCUUUGGACUUGGAUCCAGGAAGAAACUUUCGUUUGUCUUUAACCUGGUGCAUCAGAAACAGAAUUGGAAGCUUCAUCACCAGCAGAAGGGGUAGGGUUUCCUGAAGUAGAUUGAAACUAUGUGAGUAUCUUCUUGAUGAAGUAUUUGGCAGAUUUAUGUGCUUUCUUGGCUUGCAUCUCCCCUUUCACUUCAUUUUCUGAAGGAAUUUCAUCCGUAACUUUUGUUGUACGAAAUAUCUCUUCAAGAGAAACCUUUUCCUUCUUUGCUCCAAAUCUUGUUUCUGGAUGUUCAAUUGAUGACCCAAAUAGGUAUCCUUGGAGUGGACAUGCUACUGUCUUUCCAAAAUCUUCAGCAUUGGUUGCUUGCAUUUGCAUGCCGCUGAGUGUAAUGGUGCUAACGUAACUUCUCCUUGCUAUUGAGUCAUUACAACCUUCUUCUUCAGCCUCUAGAAACUUUACUAACUCAUUGUUCACAAGCUUCAAGUCAUUCUCUGUCACCUUCAUUUUUUCCUCUGUCAUGUUCUCCAAAGAUACGGGAAAUGUUGGUGUUGCAGGCUCACUGGUAGUUGGUUCUGAACCAAGGGUUCCAAUAGCAAGAAAGCCAUGAAAAAGAUCAGAGCUAAUGAUAGAUGCUUCAUCUCUGUUGUUCCCACCCACUCCUUCAUUUUCAGAGAAAGUGUUCUCACAUUCCUCAUUUGGCUGUUUGAAGAGCCUGGAUCCAUAUCUGGAGUCAAAGCUUGGCCUAGUGUAGGAGAGAUGGUCAUCGAUACCCGUCUGUGCUGAAAGGCAAGUGCAAUAGUUCCCUGAAACAUGGAAAAAGAAAAGGAUAAUUUAUUCAAGUGUUUAAGUAUGAUGUAUUACUAUCCCUCUUAUCACAUUUUGCAUGGACCAACUAGUGGCUGAACAUCUUCAGAUUUGUGAACAUAGUGGUUCAGAGGUUAUUUGUAUCAGAUUUGUGAACAUAGUGGUUCAGAGGUUAUUUGUAUGA